ACCCUCAGCGCUCUUCUUCCACCUGCAAAAAUAAGAGGGAAAAAACAUUGAAAUGACCUUUUUCUCCUUUGAACAAGUAGGUUUCAAAAUUUGACGUGACACGUGUCAAAAGAAAUCUUCAAAACGGCGCCGGAGACGGCGAGCCGACGCCGACCGAAAAACCGUGCGAUUUUAAACUUCCUCUCGCCGGCCAAAUCUAACUAUGCUUGUAGACCGAAAGGAAUAGCAUAACCAGUGUACGUACCUUCAGGACUAGCUCUAACUGG
rnacentral:misc_RNA from 1 species